UUGCAAACUCAGUCACUACACUAGCUCUGCAUGGUGUUGCAGAAGCAAGGGGAACAUAUUUGAUAAAAUAAACAUGGUCAUAUAUUCGAAUAUGAAUCCCAAUA